GGGAGUUUGGUCUAGUGGUAUAAUUCUCGCUUAGGGUGCGAGAGGUCGUGUGUUCAAUUCCCGCAACUCCCC
rfam:Volvox carteri f. nagariensis unplaced genomic scaffold VOLCAscaffold_69, whole genome shotgun sequence.